rnacentral:pre_miRNA from 1 species
AUUUUCAUCACCUGGGGAUCUUGUUAAAAUGCAGAUCCAAUUCAUUAGGUCUGAGCUGAAGCCCGAGAUUUCUGCAUUUCUAAGAAACUCAAGUGAUGCUUGU